AUCUUUUUGAGGAAAUGAAGAUCCCAAAGGCCAAAACCCAACUCUAAAACACUGUUCCUAUCACCAUAGUCUGCUGUUGUCUGUACAAGCCAAAGAUUCCUGAAAAUUAACAGAAGAAGUCAGACCAGAGGCCCCUCAGAUGUCACUCAGACCAAUCAAAGCAAUGUCGCUAAAGCUUUCCAAACAGUUCCAAAAUUGAGAACAACUGUUCCAGGAUGGAGACUGACAAGUGUGCUCUGAGAAGUGACAUAAGUUGAGUCUGUCGUCAUUGAUACCACUGAAAAAGAAGCUUCCUCGUCCUGUAUGGUCAGCAGCAGCAUGGAUCAUGGACAUCCAGAUGGUUUCUGGCGGCAGUACAGACCACAGACGUCAGUCAACAUGGAUUUAGGUGGCAGCACAGACCACGGACAACCAACGGCCUUCGGUGGUAACACGGGCCAUGGACAUCCACACGAGCCCCCGCAGCAGGACCACGGACCUCAACAUGACCCUCAAUGGCAGCCCAGAACCUGUACCUCAACGUGGCCUCAGGUUUAAUCCAGAGAAGGAACCAUCCUCCAUCCGGGACACCCCGUCGUUGCUCAGAGCCAGGGAGAUAUGCAGGUGGACUGUGUGUUCAGGGGUAGAGCCUGUAUGAGCUCUGGGCUGCUACACAUCCCACUGCCAGCCAUACUCGUCAGUGACAUGCUCUCCUGCCCACCGCAGCCUUCUCCACAUCUCACCAUCCCUCCCGUCUCUAGCUCCCACUCUAUCCACCGCACACUCGCUGCUCUGUUCCUCCAUCUUUCCCACUUUCUAUUGCAUAUUUGUUCAUGGAAGUGGCAUUGCGAACCGCAGUGUAUUUUUUUUUGUCCAAACAACUUUUGCAACAGGAGACCUCCAGUGCUUAUCUGCAGUGGAUACUCCAGCAGUAUCCACCGAUAAAAAAUUUAUAAUAUGUAAAACAAGGGAAAGAAUGGAAUGUGGAGAGGAAUGAGGAGUCCCCAGUUCCCCCUUUUUUUACUCCAGCAAAAUAUGUUUGUUUGGCUCCUUUUCACAUUUUUCUUUUCCUUUUUAUAUUUUUCAUUUUUCACUUUUUUCAAAUUAACCAAUUUGUCCACCUUUCUAUUAUCAGCUUGAUACAGUAUGUAUUCCCAUCCUAAUUGUGAAAUGUUUCAUUGAGGCUUGCUCAGUAAUUGAGUAAAACCAAAACU